GACGAACGCUGGCGGCGUGCCUAAUACAUGCAAGUAGAACGCACAGUUUAUACCGUAGCUUGCUACACCAUAGACUGUGAGUUGCGAACGGGUGAGUAACGCGUAGGUAACCUGCCUGGUAGCGGGGGAUAACUAUUGGAAACGAUAGCUAAUACCGCAUAAUAUUAAUUAUUGCAUGAUAAUUAAUUGAAAGGUGCAAUUGCACCACUACCAGAUGGACCUGCGUUGUAUUAGCUAGUAGGAGAGGUAACGGCUCACCUAGGCGACGAUACAUAGCCGACCUGGGAGGGUGAUCGGCCACACUGGGACUGGGACACGGCCCAGACUCCUACGGGAGGCAGCAGUAGGGAAUCUUCGGCAAUGGACGAAAGUCUGACCGAGCAACGCCGCGUGAGUGAAGAAGGGUUUCGGAUCGUAAAGCUCUGUUGUAAGAGAAGAACGGGUGUGAGAGUGGAAAGUUCACACUGUGACGGUAUCUUACCAGAAAGGGACGGCUAACUACGUG
rnacentral:rRNA from 1 species